rnacentral:lncRNA from 1 species
GGCCAACUAUUUAUUUACUCAAUAAUGAUGAAUCAACGUCAUUUGCUAAUCUUUUUUUCUACUGCCGAUGGUAUCCCUUACCUCUUGGGUAAGAAACUAAUAUCUUUUGGAAUGCGUGACUGCCCCUUCCAAUAAAGUGUCGCUCUCAGGAAUCGAACCUUUAACCAUAUAAGCAAAUGGCUUGCUUACAGCCAUUUGCUAAUCUAAUCAUACAUAUCUCGAAGGUCCAUAUAUAAUCAGAAGAACGAUAGCAACUACUUAACAUUAUAUAAAUAAGAACCUUGGUACUUCCAGAACUGAGAUUAACUCCCAUAUCUUCCACUAUAUCUUCUCUGAUUUUCUUCUUCUCCAUGCCCUUUUGACUUCCUUUUUACAGUAUGGAAUAAGCUCGGACCACCUCAACGAUGGGUGCUCGGCAUAAAGGACACUUACCUCCGCCACGAACUAACUCAUUGGCACAUUUUGAACAAGUACACAUGUGCCCACAUCUGCAAGAAAUUGCAAUUUGAAGAAUGGAAGAAACAAAUCAAAAGAUAAAAUCAUUGUCUAGAAGGAACUACAAAUGGGAAAUUACAGACCCCUUAAUAAAAUAGAGGUUGCAUUUAUUCAUUGAGACAAAUUAUGAUAUAUGUAUAGUACAUAAUGUAGAAAUACCUGUAUAAAAGGGAAUCAAUAUGGCUAUCACAACAAACACAGCAAGUUCCUUUUUUUACAUGCCCCCAUUUAGACCCAUCAUCAGAUGUCUCAGCUCCCAAUCCUAAAUAUCAAUUAAUAAUAAUAUGAAUAACCGAAGAUUAAAGAAAGAUAAACAGAAAUAGUUGACAAAUAUUUGAACAAAUGCAACAUAAACAGCUGCACUAUCAUAGAAAAAAUACAUUUCUUCCUACAAAGCGCAUGACAAAUGACUACAUUGAGAGGAAAGAGUGAAAAAUAUCACAAACCAUUUUCACCAGCUGAUCGGUUCAAAGCUGCAGAGACUUCCUGUCUGACAGAGCGCUGCAGCAAAAAUAAUAUCAUACUUUCCUUAAUACUUUAUAAUUUUCGAGUUUUUUUUGGGUUCGGGUUAGCCGAAACCCGACAGGUUUGGGAUGGUAUUUUUAUUUUCAACCUCAUUGAGUUCGGGUUUUGAAUUUCGAGUUCGGGUUUAGGUAUAUGCAAAUCUGACCUCGACCUGCCUGGUUAUAGUUCCUAAUCAAUAGUCACCUCCUUUAAUUACCACUCCUUAAUCCUCAACUUAUAAUUUACUAUAUUAUAUUUGUUGUCCACUUGUAAUAACAAAAAACAUACUCUUUAUAUAAUGCUUAAACAUGAUAUCAUUCAUUUAAUUCGUGUAAUCAAUUUCACCUAUUAAAAAUCAGGCUUGUUGUUGUUGCAUGCUAACUCCCUCUUACAUGAUCUUGUUAUUUACUUGCAAUAACCAAAACCAUAGGCUAUAUGUGUUAAUUCACUUUAAUAUAAAGUAAUCCCUGAAAACCCAUAUGCCAAUAAUGAGUAAUGUUAUUUGUUUACCCAAGCGUUAACAUUCAAAAUAGAAGAGCCCAAAAAAGGUCCCUUCUUUUAUCACAAAUCAUAUAAUAUCACGCUUGAUUUUCAAUGUCAACACUUAACUGUACAAAUAACACUAUUAAAUAAUUGAGCACAGAAUUAGCUUUGGAUUGAGUAGCAGCCAAGGAAGCCAAAUGUUAUUCUGCAUCUCAAGUUUGAUUGUUUCACAAUUUUUAUUUAUUUAUUUCUUCUUCCACAUUUUUCGUUAAGAUUUAAUAUGUAUGCACUAAUAGUAUAAAUAUGUUUACAUGUCAUCAAAUCAUUCAUUAUUCAUACAUUAACUAUUAUUAACUAUCAAACAAAAGUAAUACAAAUGAAUGGUAAAUGAAUUUAAGCUCUUUUUCCUUUACUUGUAGCACUCUCUUUCUUCUGGUACUAGACCAAUCAAUAUUAUGUUUGGAAGUACUAAAUUACUACAACAAACUUUAAUCAGAAGAAUAGGAAUAUUCAACUUAAAAUAACUCUUACGUAUAGAUUGCUGUAAUUAAUUGGCCAAACAGCCAGAUAGACGUAAACACAAUACCCACUUUGAAGAGAGGGGGGAUAAAUAAAGUAACAUAAUAUUUGCACUUUUAGAAGUUUUAUACAAGUUUUUACACUAGUACUUAGUAGGCUAUAUAAAUCAUUUGAAUGCGGUUCCUAUAAUAUAAUGAAGAUUUUAAGAUUAUUAAGAAAUUUACUUAGAAUCAAUUAACCAUUUGAAAAGUUCGUAUUUGUAAUUAACUGAGCCAAAACAUUAUAGGUAAAAUAUGACCAUAUCCUUUUAUCGUAGCUUUUCUAUUUUAUGUUUAGACAUACAACCUCCUAAUUACCAACAAAAAAGGAAAAUAUUGGAUUUAGACUCACAAAAAAGAUUUAGAAAGAAUAGUUAGGCCAACUAUUUAUUUACUCAAUAAUGAUGAAUCAACGUCAUUUGCUAAUCUUUUUUUCUACUGCCGAUGGUAUCCCUUACCUCUUGGGUAAGAAACUAAUAUCUUUUGGAAUGCGUGACUGCCCCUUCCAAUAAAGUGUCGCUCUCAGGAAUCGAACCUUUAACCAUAUAAGCAAAUGGCUUGCUUACAGCCAUUUGCUAAUCUAAUCAUACAUAUCUCGAAGGUCCAUAUAUAAUCAGAAGAACGAUAGCAACUACUUAACAUUAUAUAAAUAAGAACCUUGGUACUUCCAGAACUGAGAUUAACUCCC